ensembl:lncRNA
GAACAACAAAUUUGUUUCAGCCACUGUUUUAACCGCUCGAUCCGAGUACCCGUGUGGACCCGGGUUGGGUGCGGGGGUCGUGAGCCGCUCCUUCCGCGCUUUUGUCCUGGUGGUCCCCAGUCGCUCAGUCCUGUCCCACUCUGUGCGACCCCGUGGACAGUAGCCCGCCAGGCUCCUCUGUCCGUGGGAUUCUCCAGGCAGGAAUACUGGAGCGGGUUGCCACGCCCGCCUCCAGGGGAUCUCCCCCACCCGGGGAUCGAACCCGCGUCUCCUGCAAUAGCGAGCAUAUUUACCCCUGCGCCACAGGCGAAGCCCGAGUGACACGUACGCAGUAUCAAAAUGGCCUUUCUGAGAGCGGAUUCGUAUAUCUGUCUGACUGAGUCCCUUCGCUGUACACCUGAAGCUGAUACACAGCACAGACCUGUGCAACAGUCUCCAGCCUCCCCAGCCAGCGGGAGAGAUUCUUUAAUGUCUCAGCCAGCAGAAAGCCCACAAGUUAGGCACCCUGGACAAGACCCCCAUGCAUAAGAAAAUGUUCGUGAGUUACCUUCAGCCUAGAAAAUAAGAAAAAGUGAGAAAAACAAGAUCCAGAACAAGAUACGAACUUCCAAGAAGUUGACGUGCACUUAAGACAAGUGUGUGACUUAGAAGUGGGAGUCUCCUGACCUCUGGAUGUUUCAUGUGGCUGCUGCUGCUGCUAAGUCGCUUCAGUCGUGUCCGACUCUGUGCGACCCCAUAGACGGCAGCCCACCAGGCUCCCUCGUCCCUGGGAUUCUCCAGGCAGGAACACUGGA